rnacentral:rRNA from 1 species
GAUGAACGCUGGCGGCGUGCCUAAUACAUGCAAGUCGAGCGAACGGACGAGAAGCUUGCUUCUCUGAUGUUAGCGGCGGACGGGUGCGUCACACGUGGAUAACCUACCUAUAAGACUGGGAUAACUUCGGCAAACCGGAUCUACUACCGGAUAAUAUUUUGCACCUCAUUGUUCACACGUGAAAGACGGUCUUGCUGUCACUUAUAGAUGGCUACGCCCUGCAUUAGCUAGUUGGUAAGGUAGCUGCUUACCAAAGCAGCGACGCAAACCCGACCUAAGAGGGACAUCGGACACACUGGAAGUGAGACAGGUUAGAGACUCUUACGGUGGGAAGCAGUAGGGAAUCCUCCGCGAGGCAGGAAAGCGUGACGGUGCAACACCGCGUGAGUGAUGAAGGUCUUAUGAUCGGAAAGCGCUGUUAUUAGGAAAGAACAAAUGUGUAAUUAACUGGGAACAUCUUGACGGUACCUAAUCAGAAAGCCACGGCUAACUACGUG